rnacentral:rRNA from 1 species
CCAAUAGCGUAUAUUAAAGUUGUUGUGGUUAAAAAGCUCGUAGUUGAACCUUGGGCCUGGCUGGCCGGUCCGCCUCACCGCGAGUACUGGCUCGGCCGGGCCUUUCCCCCUGUGGAACCCCAUGCCCUUCACUGGGCGUGGCGGGAAAACAGGACUUUUACUUUGAAAAAAUUAGAGUGCUCCAGGCAGGCCUAUGCUCGAAUACAUUAGCAUGGAAUAAUAGAAUAGGACGUGUGGUUCUAUUUUGUUGGUUUCUAGGACCGCCGUAAUGAUUAAUAGGGACAGUCGGGGGCAUCAGUAUUCAAUUGUCAGAGGUGAAAUUCUUGGAUUUAUUGAAGACUAACUACUGCGAAAGCAUUUGCCAAGGAUGUUUUCAUUAAUCAGGAACGAAAGUUAGGGGAUCGAAGACGAUCAGAUACCGUCGUAGUCUUAACCAUAAACUAUGCCGACUAGGGAUCGGACGAUGUUAUUUUUUGACUCGUUCGGCACCUUACG